CGCAACUUACCCUAAUCUCGAUUCGAGGAGGUAGUGACAAGAAAUACCGAUGCGGGACCCCUACGGGUGCCGCGUUCGGAAUGAGUACGAUUCGAACCACCUAACGAGGAACGAUCGGAGGGCAAGUCUGGUGCCAGCAGCCGCGGUAAUUCCAGCUCCAAUAGCGUACGUUAAAGUUGCUGCAGUUAAAAAGCUCGUAGUUGAACGUUCGGGUUCCGCGGGACGGGGCCGCCCCGCGAGGGACGGCGCCGCCCCGGGGCUCGUGAUAUCUCAUCUCGCCGCCCGUCGCGAGGCGGACGGGAGGGGAUGGAUGAGGUUACCUGGAAAAAAUCGGGGCGAUCUAGGCGGGCGAACCUCGCCAACGAACGAUCGGACAUGGGAUAACGGAAGAGGGCGUCGGCUCGACUUCGUCGGUUCCUCGGGCCGAGGCACGUACGGUG
rnacentral:rRNA from 1 species